AGCCACUUUCCCUAUCCACAACGAGCUUACAGUCUAGAGGGGGGGAGUCAGAAAUAUAAAUAAAUUAUGGAUGUGGAGAAGAGUGUACAUAAAGGGGGAAAAUCCCAGUGCAAGGGUGAUGCAGAAGGGAGUGGGAGAAGAGGAAAUAAGGGCUUAGUUAGGGAAGGCCUUUUGGAGGAGAUGUGCUUUUAAUGGAGUGGACAGCUCCCUUAGGUGUUUUUAAGAGAAACCUGAAGGUAAAAUUACUGCUUGGUUUUUGGGGGCGUGGGAUUUCACAAGGGACUGUUUUAAACCAAAAUGCAAUCUAUUCUUCUUAUAGAAUUAAAACAGUGCUUUUUCAUUUUACUUUUCCAGGAUCCUUCAGCAUUGUGAAAAUGGGAUGAAAGCUCUCUACCUCUUGUGGGUUCCUGAGGGGCUUAGCAUGCCAAUAAGCUUCCCUUUUUUGUUCCUCUUCCUUUUUCUCCUCUCUUCAAAAAAAAAAAAGGUGCUCUGCAGAUCGAUGAGAGGGAAAGGAUGGGCUUUUGGUAGUUGAAUAAAAAACUGUCUUUGCAGUGAUAUGUGGGACCGGAUAGGACGAAUACACUUUCUCUCCUGAAACAUUAUUGGUUUUGUCCUAAAAGAUAUUUGUUUCUAAUGUAUGCAGGUGGCACAUUUAAAGCGUUCUUUUUCCCUCAAGUGCAAUCGUUCACAAACACAGAUGGCUUUUGUUUAAUCGUAAAGCGGAAUGACGUCCAGGUGCUCGCUCGCAGUUAUAGACCUGGGAGCGAGUUUAGAGAUCCCCGCAGUCCCAGAAACCUUCACCGAAAAAUCAGUUUUCCUAAAGUGGUAAGUAGAGGGAAAAGAGUGGUAAUGUGUAUUUUUCUUCCCAAGCUCUUGAAUCAAAGUUGGUCAGAAGUGAAAUGUUCUUUGUGAUUUGCAGAAAAUGCUUCCUUAUUUGUACUGAUGAUCAGCGUAUGCAUCUGAUGUCAGGGUGGGUAAAUAAGAAUUAGGAGGUGGAUAGAAAGCAUUACCAGGCAUCUAUUUAUUUACCCUGGUGUGUUUCUCACUCUUCUGCAUGCAGACUGCUGUUAUGAUAACCCUUUGGAAUGUUACUUCUUUUCAAAGUAAGCAUUCUCCUUUCUGUGAUGUUAUGGAAUUUAGGAUUUAAAAAAAAAACGGACAACAGCUAAACCUCCUUCCUCAAGUUUGCAUGAUACUUGCUGUGUGGAUAGUAGUGGUCUCGCCAAUAAAUCCCCCCCACUUUUUUACGUAGUGAUAGGUGAAAGCGAACUUCAAGUGUAAUUCGGUACGCAAGAGGUUCGUACCGUGAAAAAAGAACCUUACUGAAGACUUGCUGGAAUCCUUGUCUAGUACCUACAAGGGUUGAUGUCCGUUAGGCAGUUUCAAGAAGCCGGUGAAGCUGAAGAUAAAUGUGAUGCCCUUUUCCAGUGAGCAGGUGACUCUCCUCAUCUGCUUGCUUACACUCCCACUUGGGAGCAUUUGUUCCUGUGACAGAGCCCUUUCUGUGAGUGAUCGCUGAGAAAAAUCUGAAAUCCUCCACUUUUCCACCCUGUAGCACACUCUGUUUUGUUGGGACAUAUUGACUGUAAAAGUACUACCCCCGCUAAAGAGAUGUAUUGAUUUCUGACCUUCACGUGUCUUAAAAAUGUGUUUACGAGCCACGAGUUACUUUGUAGAACAAAACGUUCCCGGCCGUAUUCUGAAGACUCCCUUGGAAUUCACCGCAAAAGACCACAUUUGUCAUCGUCGGCUGAAGAUGUGUGUGAUUUCACUCUGGAAUUUUAGGCAGGGUUCGAUUUGUUCCGGAGGUAUUCAUGUUGAGAGAAACGUCUGCUCCUUAAAAGAUACCGAGAUCCCUUUUGCCUUCCGGUUUGAACGUUCCGGCAUAGAGGAGCGAUGGAUGGCAUUUUAAAAAGACGAACAGUCGAAGAGGAAACGCCUCCACAAGUCCCACAGAACAAAAGAAUGGAAAGUUGAGGUUGCGCUUGGGCAUCAGUUGGACAAAUUGCCUAUUUUAAGGCACAGAUGAGGUAACAGGCCUGGAGGAGUGAAGUGACUUGCCUAAGACCGCACAGCAGACAAGUAGCGGAGCCGGGAUUUGUCACCUGUCUCUCUCGCUUAACCCCGCGGCUGCUGCUCGCAUUCCAGGGGGAAUUAGGACUUUGGAACAGCCCAGGCCGUGCCACUAAGCAACCCUGGUCGAGCAGGGGAGUGGAUCCGGGCAGCUGGAAGCCCUUUUGGGAUCACUAGACUUCUCGCAGUUGUCGGAUCUCCAACCCCUCAGCGGCGACACAGUGGCCGGGGUCGUCAACAGAGAGAGGAAAGAGCCCUGGGGACGGGGUUAAGAUUGUCCUCCUCUUCCCUACUGCGUGAACCUCAAAAGGGGUCACCCCCAGCACAUCUGUGGGGUCCUGGCUUUUGAACUUCCUCUGCACCAGCAGCGUACCACAGGAGUCUCAUCUAGCAGCACGAGACAAAUGCUGCCUAAAUGUCACCCGGAGAGGCGAAGUUAAUUCUCGGCUGCAAGAAAAUCAGGCCCUGCCCAGUUUUCAAAACGUAGUCGAUGGUGAACGCUUUCUGAUGUGCAGUCUUGUUUUCUUCUCAACUCACGUGAGGGAUCACAGGCUUUCAUGGGCCUAUGGACGGGUUCAUGGCCCUAAGGAAAUUGAAUAACUUCCAGUCAUCCUUGAUAUUUUCUCACCAGAUUUCCCUUGGGAACUUGUUUGUCUCUGCUCUGCGGCAGGUGGAUAUUCAGCGAGGCCCCCGGGAAAGGAAAGCAGCUGACUCGGAGGGAAGAUUACCCGUUUCUUCUCUAGAAUGGGUUCUGUUCAGUCAACGGUGUUUAUUGAGUGCAGAACACUCUCCUAAGCACUUGGAAGAGUACAACACAACACAGUUGGCACACACAUUAACCAGAGUACACGUCCAACCCAGAAGCAAUAAUCAAUCGUGUUGGUUGAGCACCUACUCCAGGCAGAACACUAAACUGAGCACUUGGAAGGGUACAAAAGUUUGUAGUUAGCGGUCCCUGCCCUCAGGGAGCCUUAUGGUCUGUAUUGCUAGCCAUCUGUACAAAGUUAACUGACCUCAGGGGACAUUUUUGUCCCUGAUUAUUCGAAGAGCCUGUCACUUCAGAAAAACCAGGCCUAGAAAUGGAUCCAUGGGUGCCCACCCCACUGCAGUGGCGGGGAAGCUCACCGAAACUCAGCCUCAGCAGAGGCUUUGGCACCGUGCCCUUCUGUCCGGCCGGAGCAAGUCUCACCGAGCAAGCAGAUCUGGAAAAGCCAGAUCGUGGCUAAAAUAAAAUGGGAGAGAGAUCGGUGCUAAUGAAAAGAAAGUCACUCAUCCAGCCGAGUGCAUAAUGUCAAAAGCCAGUGGUGCCUGUAGUUUUUCUUAGCCCUUUGGCCUUUGAGCAACCAAAAGCGGGUUCGAUAUUCAGCUGCUGCUGCUGAAUACAGUCUUUCAGUUGUGAUGAUUUGCUGCCCCAAGACCCCAAAGCCAAAUGAAGGGCAAUAUUCUGGGCAUAUAAAGAAAUCCACGAGCUCUUCUCGAGCACGUAUUUUAGCUCACGACAGGAUUUCUUGUUGAGGCUUCUUGUUUUUUUCCAUCCCCUUUAGGUUCUGGGGUCUUUGCUCAUUCCCUGCAUCUGGAGACCCUGUCCUCAGAUUGGGCUCCAACCUCCCUCUGUCAGCCGGGCUGCCUUCCUGACUCCUGCAACCUUUCUCUGCCGCUCCCCUGGACCCGCUGGUGUCCCUAUUUCUCUAGCUGCUGGGCUUUCUGUUGCCUCCCGGGAGCCCACUUCUUUUUUCCUCCUGACAAACUAUUUGUCUCGUGAUUUUUUUGGGUCGGGGAGGGUUGCUAUGCACGGAGUAUGUGGGAGCCUGCAUUUUGCCUCACGGUGUUUUUGUAUUGUGAGGCCCAGGCCUCUUGCAGUGUUGGCUUCGGGAAAAACAAUCUCUAUGUUCUCCCCACAUGACUCAUCCCACACAUUUUUUUUUUUCCACCUCCUCUCACCUCAGUUUUUUUUCCUCUUCCUGGUCUUUCCAGCUUCUAAGACCCGGCCCUUUUGGCAAUUCCUUCCAGUUCCUGAUCCCAGUUAACCAAGAAGUCAGUGCCCUGAGACCCUGGCUUUCCUCUGGGGGUUCGGGGCUAGUGAGUAACCUAGCCGUGGUUAGGCCGGGUGAGAAAGGGGAGUUUU